rnacentral:rRNA from 1 species
GUCUAUGGCCAUGCCACCCUGAACACGCCCGAUCCUGUCUGAUCUCAGCAGCUAAGCAGGGUCAGCCCUGGUUAGUUCUUGGAUGGGAGACCACCUAGGAAGACCAGGUGCUGUAGGUG